rnacentral:pre_miRNA from 1 species
AUAUGAAUCACCUGGGGAUCUUGUUAAACUGCAGACUCUAUUUCAGUAGGUCUGGGAUGGGGUCUGAGGUUCUGCAUUUAAAACAAGUUCCCAGGUGAUGCUGAU